GAUGAACGCUAGCGGCAGGCUUAAUACAUGCAAGUCGAGGGACAGCACAGGUAGCAAUACAGAUGCUGGCGACCGGCAAACGGGUGCGGAACACGUACAGAACCUUCCUUUAAGUGGGGGAUAGCCCAGGGAAAAUUGGAUUAAUACCCCGUAAUAUAUAGAAGUGGCAUCACUUUUAUAUUAUAGCUCCGGCCCUUAAAGAUGGCUGUGCGGCUGAUUAGGUAGUGGGCGGGGUAACGGCCCACCAAGCCUGCGAUCAGUAACUGGUGUGAGAGAACGACCAGUCACACGGGCACUGAGCCACGGGCCCGACUCCUACGGGAGGCAGCAGUAAGGAAUAUUGGGCAAUGGACGCAAGUCUGACCCAGCCAUGCCGCGUGAAGGAUGAAGGUCCUCUGGAUUGUAAACUUCUUUUAUCUGGGACGAAAAAAGGUCUUUCUAGAUCGUCUGACGGUACCAGAGGAAUAAGCACCGGCUAACUCCGUGCCAGCAGCCGCCGUAA
rnacentral:rRNA from 1 species